AAAUAAAAAAAAAUUCAGUAUAAAAAUAUUAAAUAAACUUAAUAUUAAAUUUUAAAUUAAAUUAAAAAAAAAUAACAAAAAUUAAUAAUACAAUUAAUUAAAAAUAAAUUUUCAUUUAAAUAUAGAUCUAUCAAAUUAAAAAAAAUUAAUGAAUAAAAUAUUAUAUUAUUUAAUCAUGACAACAAUAAAUAAAAAUUAAUUAAUUAAAAAUAAAAGUGCAACAUCAUUUUAAUUUAACAAAUUUCCCUAAUAAAAAAUUACCGCCAAAUUUAAUAAUUUUUUUUAACAUAAGUCUUCCUAUUUUUAAAAUAUUUGAUAUAUAUAAAUAGGGUAUCUAAUCCUAAUUUAAUAAAUACUAAAAUUAAUAAAAAACAAAUAUAAACUUAUUUAUAAAUUAUUUAACCAUAAUAAAAAAUAAUAAUUAAAUUAAUAUUAAAUAUUAAAUAAAUAAAUUAUAUUAAUUAUUAUAUUUUGU
rnacentral:rRNA from 1 species